rnacentral:rRNA from 1 species
GAGUUUGAUCUUGGCUCAGGAUGAACGCUGGCGGCGUGCUUAACACAUGCAAGUCGAACGAAGCACUACCGACGGAACUUUUCGGAGGGAAGAUGGUAAUGACUGAGUGGCGGACGGGUGAGUAACGCGUGGGCAACCUGCCCCAUAGAGGGGGACAACAGCUGGAAACGGCUGCUAAUACCGCAUAACAAGGAGAGAGCGCAUGUUCUUUUCUUCAAAGAUUUAUCGCUAUGGGAUGGACCCGCGUCUGAUUAGCUGGUUGGUGAGGUAACGGCUCACCAAGGCGACGAUCAGUAGCCGGCUUGAGAGAGUGGACGGCCACAUUGGGACUGAGACACGGCCCAGACUCCUACGGGAGGCAGCAGUGGGGAAUAUUGCACAAUGGGGGAAACCCUGAUGCAGCGACGCCGCGUGAGUGAAGAAGUAUUUCGGUAUGUAAAGCUCUAUCAGCAGGGAAGAUAAUGACGGUACCUGACUAAGAAGCCCCGGCCUAACUA